UGGGGAAUAUUGCACAAUGGGCGGAAGCCUGAUGCAGCGACGCCGCGUGGGGGAUGACGGCCUUCGGGUUGUAAACCUCUUUCGACAGGGACGAAGCCUUUUAGGUGACGGUACCUGUAUAAGAAGCACCGGCUAACUACGUGCCAGCAGCCGCGGUAAUACGUAGGGUGCGAGCGUUGUCCGGAAUUACUGGGCGUAAAGAGCUCGUAGGUGGUUUGUCGCGUCGUCUGUGAAAUUCCGGGGCUUAACCUCGGGCGUGCAGGCGAUACGGGCAAUACUUGAGUGCUGUAGGGGAGACUGGAAUUCCUGGUGUAGCGGUGAAAUGCGCAGAUAUCAGGAGGAACACCGAUGGCGAAGGCAGGUCUCUGGGCAGUAACUGACGCUGAGGAGCGAAAGCAUGGGUAGCGAACAG
rnacentral:rRNA from 1 species